rnacentral:tRNA from 1 species
ACAUCUUUACCUGAAAAGGUACAGCAAUUAUUUUCGAAAUAGUUAUUUAUUGGUUCAAAUCCAAUAAGAUGUU